rnacentral:lncRNA from 14 species
AAAACUACCCCUGGAGCUCAAUGCUGCCCCAGAGCCGUGUCCAUGGGCUGGUGUGUGUGUAAGGAGCUGCAGCACUGAGCCAGGGCUGUGUCCUGCAGGAAGCGAGAGGAGCGCCUGAGGAAGGUGCUGCAGGCUCGGGAACGGGCAGAGCAGAUGGAGGAGGAGAGGAAGAGGAGGAUUGAGCAGAAGAUUGCUCUGUUUGAUGAGAAGACGGAGAAGGUAAGGCCCAAUGUACUGGAGAGGUCACCUGGGAGCACAGAGGCUCUGCUGAGUGAUGCUGCACAGGUUUGCCUUGCAGAGAGGAGCUGAGGCUGCUUGGGAUCCAGAGAAGGAGCUGGAGAACACUGGGAUAAAGAAGGUUUCAGAAGCUGGGUGGUUGAGUGGCUGCCUUGUCUUGGAGACAGCAAAUGGCAGCUGAAACCCUGAUUUGUGGUCCUCUAAAUGGGCUUCAUUAAGGCUCUGUUAGAUGAGAGAACUCCCAGCAGCUAAAGCCAGACUAAUGGUCUUGAAGCUCUUCUCCCAUCUGACUAAUACAGGAAGAGGUGAAAAGAAACCACUUCCUCCAGCCCCUCUCUUGUGUCUCAGACUGAGGCAGUUUGCACAUGUAACCAGGGCAGUCCUAUUGUCUGCUUCAGUUAUCUCCAUCUGCUUUUCCUAUCCAUGUUCUGAGAGUGCCUUGGGAUGGUUUUUGUGCUAUGAUAAUGCAGUUCCCCAGUGCUGGCUGUGGGGAUGGGGAGGUCACUGCCCCUCAAAUCAAGUGCAGGUCCCAGCGGCUCCUGUGGCAAAGGAGGAAGCUCUGGCCCCUGAUGGGAGCUUUGCAUCCUGCUGUGGUGUGACAGGACAGUGUCACCCAGGGCCCUGUGCUCAGCUGGCUCCGUGUGGUGUGUGUGUGUGUGGUUAUGUGUGUGUGAGUGUGUUGUGUGUGUGUUGUGUGUGUUGUGUGUUAUGUGUUAUGUAUGUGUUAUGUGUGUUAUGUGUGUUGUGUUGUAGGUGCGGGAGGAAAGGUUGGCAGAGGAGAAGAUCAAGAAGAAAGCAGCUGCCAGGAAGAUGGAGGAGGCUGAGGCAAGGCGCAGGCAGGAGGAGGAGGCCAGGAGGCAGCGAGCCCUGCAGCAGGAGGAGGAGGAACGUCGGCACAAAGAGCUAAUGCAGAAGAGGAAGGAAGAGGAGCAGGAACGUGCC